UCCUGGUUAACCCAGGCAGUCUCAUUAGAGUUCCCACCUUAAAUGUUGGCAACUAAUGAUAAGGGUUGCGCUCGUUGCUGGACUUAACCAAACACCUCACGGCACGAGCUGACGACAGCCAUGCAGCACCUGUGCAAAGGCCCCGAAGGGCUAUAUCAUCUCUGUUAUAUUCCUCUGCAUGUCAAGUCUGGGUAAGGUUCUUCGCGUUGCAUCGAAUUAAACCACAUGCUCCACUGCUUGUGCGGGUCCCCGUCAAUUCUUUUGAGUUUUACACUUGCGUGCGUACUCCCCAGGCGGUAUACUUAUCGCGUUAGCUACGGCACAACUAGGGUUGAUUCCAGUUACACCAAGUAUACAUAGUUUAGGGCAAGGACUAC
rnacentral:misc_RNA from 1 species